GUGUGGUAGAUGUAACAAAAGCAUAAACUCUGUGUGCAAGUGUGAGUGUGAAGCGCGUUUUACUCCCGUUGGUGAGAGAAACAAAACCGCCUAAAGUGGGCCGGCCUGGGACUACGGUCUGCAAGGGCUAAAACUCAAACGGAGUGACGGGGACCGCACAGCGGAGGACAUGUGGUUUAAUCGAUGAUACGCGAGGAACGUUACCCGGGCUGAACUGCAGCAGACGGAUCUAGAGAUAGUGACUGCAUCGGGGGAAGAUGGGGAGAUGCUGCAUGGUUGUCGUCAGCUCGUGCCGUGAGGUGUCGGCUUAAGUGCCAUAACGAGCGCAACCCCUGCGACUAGUUGCCAUCAGGUUAUGCUGGGCACUCUGGUUGGACUGCCACCGUAAGGUGUGAGGAAGGUGGGGAUGACGUCAAAUCAGCACGGCCCUUACGUCCGGGGCUACACACGUGUUACAAUGGGUGGUACAGAGAGUUGGUCGAAUGCAAAAGCGGUCUAAUCCUAAAAGCCAUCCUCAGUUCGGAUUGGGGUCUGCAACCCGACCCCAUGAAGCUGGAUUCGCUAGUAAUCGCGCAUCAGCCAUGGCGCGGUGAAUACGUUCCCGGGCCUUGUACACACCGCCCGUCAAGCCAUGAAAGCCGGGGGCGCUUGAAGUCCGCGACGGCAAGGAUCGGCCUAGAGCGAAACUGGUAAUUGGGGCU
rnacentral:rRNA from 1 species